UACGUAGGGUGCAGGCGUUAAUCGGAAUUACUGGGCGUAAAGCGUGCGCAGGCGGUCUUUUAAGUCAGAUGUGAAAUCCCCGGGCUUAACCUGGGAACUGCGUUUGAAACUGGAAGGCUUGAGUGUGGCAGAGGGGGGUGGAAUUCCACGUGUAGCAGUGAAAUGCGUAGAGAUGUGGAGGAACACCGAUGGCGAAGGCAGCCCCCUGGGUCAAGAUUGACGCUCAUGCACGAAAGCGUGGGGAGCAAACAGG
rnacentral:rRNA from 1 species